rnacentral:rRNA from 1 species
CUCGUAGGCGGUUCAACAAGUCGGUCGUGAAAGCCCGGGGCUCAACCCCGGGACGCCGGUCGAAACUGUUGUGACUAGGGUCCGGUGGAGGUGAGUGGAAUUCUCGGUGUAGCGGUGGAAUGCGCAGAUAUCGAGAGGAACACCAGUAGCGAAGGCGGCUCACUGGGCCGGUACCGACGCUGAGGAGCGAAAGCAUGGGGAGCAAACA